rnacentral:rRNA from 1 species
CGGGCUUCGGUUGACCCGGCCUCGGGCCGGGAUGUUCACAACCCUUUGUUGUCCGACUCUGUUGCCUCCGGGGCGACCCUGCCUCCGGGCGGGGGCCCCGGGUGGACACUUCAAACUCUUGCGUAACUUUGCAGUCUGAGUAAAUUUAAUUAAUAAAUUAAAACUUUCAACAACGGAUCUCUUGGUUCUGGCAUCGAUGAAGAACGCAGCGAAAUGCGAUAAGUAAUGUGAAUUGCAGAAUUCAGUGAAUCAUCGAAUCUUUGAACGCACAUUGCGCCCCCUGGUAUUCCGGGGGGCAUGCCUGUUCGAGCGUCAUUUCACCACUCAAGCCUCGCUUGGUAUUGGGCGACGCGGUCCGCCGCGCGCCUCAAAUCGACCGGCUGGGUCUUCCGUCCCCUCAGCGUUGUGGAAACUAUUCGCUAAAGGGUGCCGCGGGAGGUCACGCCGCAAAACAACCCCAUUUCUAAGGUUGACCUCGGAUCAGGUAGGGAUACCCGCUGAACUUAAGCAUAUCAAUAAGCGGAGGAA